GACGAACGCUGGCGGCGUGCUUAACACAUGCAAGUCGAACGGUGAAGCGCCUUCCUUUUUGGUGGGUGUGGAUGAGUGGCGAACGGGUGAGUAACACGUGAGUAACCUGCCCCCUUCUUCUGGAUAACCGCAUGAAAGUGUGGCUAAUACGGGAUAUUCUGGGUCUGUCGCAUGAUGGGUCUGGGAAAGAUAUUGUUUCGGUGGGGGAUGGGCUCGCGGCCUAUCAGCUUGUUGGUGGGGUGAUGGCCUACCAAGGCGGUGACGGGUAGCCGGCCUGAGAGGGUGGACGGUCACACUGGGACUGAGACACGGCCCAGACUCCGACGGGAGGCAGCAGUGGGGAAUAUUGCACAGUGGGCGCAAGCCUGAUGCAGCGACGCCGCGUGAGGGAUGGAGGCCUGCGGGUUGUGAACCUCUUUCGCCAGUGAAGCAGGCCUGCCUCGUUUGUGGGUGGGUUGACGGUAGCUGGAUAAGAAGCGCCGGCUAACUACGUG
rnacentral:rRNA from 1 species